GAUGAACGCUGGCGGCGUGCCUAAUACAUGCAAGUCGAGCGAACAGAUGAGGAGCUUGCUCCUCUGACGUUAGCGGCGGACGGGUGAGUAACACGUGGAUAACCUACCUAUAAGACUGGGAUAACUUCGGGAAACCGGAGCUAAUACCGGAUAAUAUAUUGAACCGCAUGGUUCAAUAGUGAAAGACGGUUUUGCUGUCACUUAUAGAUGGAUCCGCGCCGCAUUAGCUAGUUGGUAAGGUAACGGCUUACCAAGGCAACGAUGCGUAGCCGACCUGAGAGGGGGAUCGGCCACACUGGAACUGAGACACGGUCCAGACUCCUACGGGAGGCAGCAGUAGGGAAUCUUCCGCAAUGGGCGAAAGCCUGACGGAGCAACGCCGCGUGAGUGAUGAAGGUCUUCGGAUCGUAAAACGCUGUUAUUAGGGAAGAACAAAUGUGUAAGUAACGAUGCACGUCUUGACGGUACCUAAUCAGAAAGCCACGGCUAACUACGU
rnacentral:rRNA from 1 species